ACGGCGCACGGGUGCGUAACACGUGGGUAAUCUGCCCUCUGAUGGGGAAUAACUCGCCGAAAGGCGAGCUAAUUCCGCAUAACAUUCCUUGGACUCCGGUCCGGGGAUUCAAAGGCGUAAGUCGUCGGAGGUGGAGCCCGCGCCCGAUUAGCUCGUUGGUGAGGUAACGGCUCACCAAGGCAAUGAUCGGUAGCCGGUCUGAGAGGAUGGUCGGCCACACUGGAACUGAGACACGGUCCAGACUCCUACGGGAGGCAGCAGUGGGGAAUCUUGCGCAAUGGGCGAAAGCCUGACGCAGCGACGCCGCGUGGGGGAUGAAGCUUCUCGGAGUGCAAACCCCUUUCGACCCGGACGAAACACCCGCAAGGGUUUGACGGUACGGGUAUAAGAAGCCCCGGCUAACUACGUGCCAGCAGCCGCGGUAAGACGUAGGGGGCCAGCGUUGCUCGGAAUUACUGGGCGUAAAGGGUUCGUAGGCGGUGUGGCAAGUCGGGAGUGAAAUCUCUGGGCUUAACUCAGAGGCUGCUUCCGA
rnacentral:rRNA from 1 species